GAGUAGUGAAACUGAGGGGAAACCCCUGAUCCUAGAGUAUUUAAAUGAGCUCUGAAGGCCUUCGGUCAUAAUCUCACUGACACAGACAAGCACAGUUCAUCAAGAACAAGAAGACAAUGAAGACUAUUGCAGCUUUUGUUCUUCUUGCCUGCCUGAUCGCUGUAGGAGUGAAAGCGCAGGGAAAGUCUUCGAAGGGCAGGUGCUUCUGUGCAGACAAAGGUGCAAACAUGGUUUUAGUGAAAAACAUUGAGAAGGUUGAAAUCUUCCCUCCAAGUCCAUCUUGUCGCAAACAUGAGAUUAUUGUCACUCUGAAGAAUGGUGCAGGAUGGAAAUGCAUGAAUCCAGAGUCAAAAUUCACUCAAAAUAUCAUAAAGGCUCUUGAGAAGAGGAGCCAGCAGUCUGUGCACCACAGUACAACUGUCA